GCCUGUUGUAGCUGCAUGCUGUAUAAACUACAUGUGCUGGAUUUGGAGGGUCAUGGACAAUGGCUGAAAUUCUGCACUACAGAGUAGCCACUCCUACCCUGCUCCCAGCCCUAGGCGCUCUGGUCCUCUGGUUGCUGUUCUGUUUUGCCCUUUUCAGACAUUUCAUUAAACAGACUGCUGUUUGUUCUUU